UUCCGUCUCAAACGGCCCACUGUAAUUCUGUCUCAUGUCUCAAAUGGCUCAAUGUAAUUCACCUCCACACCAGUCUGUGCGCUGUGCGCGCCCUGCUGGUUAAUCUGCUACGCUAUCAUCUUUCUUCCCUCUCCCCUGCCUUCACUGCUUUAAUUUUGAAAAAUUGGCGGUGGCAGGUGAGUCUGUGGAAUUAUGAGUCGGAAAGCUUCCGAAGUAUGCAAGUAUUUUAAGCCAAGUUGUGAUAAAAGAGUGGUCUGUUACACCGUGCCAAACGUCGCUGGCUUAUCACGGGAGCACAACGACAAUGCACGAGCAUCUCAAACGAAAACACUCGGGAGUUAUUGACGAUACACCCACAGAGAAUAGGACAACUUUUCAUGCCAUGAUCACUGGGGCGGAAACCAUUAUGACGUUGCCUUGGACAUCAAACUAAACCAUCUCAUUCUCGCUUUUUUCUAACAUCGAAAUCUCAGAAGGCCAGGACUAAGAUGGACGCAGCCUCCACAUGCAACCUUGCAUUUGAGGAACACCCAUAGAACGGAGAAAGUCAUGGGUUCUGCUGCUGAGAAUUCUGGCUUGAUGUUUGGUCCACCUGUUAGCUGGCUCUGGUGCUUGGUAGUCUUCUCAAACCUCUGAAUCAAGGCCACCAUGAGAGGCCUUCUGAAGACCAUCAUUACGCUUCAGAUCCAGUUGUCUUAACUAUGAGAUAGAACUGAACUGGAGUCUGUGAACUAAUGCUGUGUUCGAGACAACUGGAACAGCAAACAAAGUUGAGUAUCCGACCUCUCAACUUGUGACUGAUCGAUCAGCACCAACCUCAACGAGAUGCAUCAUUUGACAUUGCAGACAAGAUCCUUUCUCUUUUUAAUGCAGCACUUAAGGAUGAACCACCCUGAUCUACUAAGAUGCACAGAUUCAACUCUGGCCCAGCAUCAUCCCCACACCUCAUCUGCCAUCAGUUUAAUUUAAUGUCUGUCAAUUGCAAAUGCUAUUUAUUUCAGUUAUAUUACAACUUAAUGUUAACUUUAAUUGAGACUAGUAUUGUGUAAAGCUGGGGUUUCCAAACUUUUCAUUUCAAAACCUAUUAGACAAGUGUAAUCUAUUCUAGACCCACUAAAAUAUUUUUACAUAUACAUUUUUUUAAUGGGGUAAAACACAUUUGUUCUCUUUCAGUGGAGUCAUUUUAUUUUCAUAAUAUUUCAUAAUGUAAAGCAGUGGUUCUAAACGUUAUUCCUCGAGGCCCAUUGCUCUGCACAUUUUGUAUGUCUCUUUUAUCUGACAGACUCAGUUCAGUUCAUUGAGAUCUCUUCUAAUGAGCUGAUGAUUUGAAUCAGGUGUGUUAAAUAAGGGAGACAUACAAAAUGUGCAGGGCAGUGGGCCUCGAGGAAUAACAUUAAGAACCACUGAUGUAAAGUAAAUACAAGUUUAUUUGCAAUACCAAAUAUUUUAUGGUAUAUUCUUUCAAAACCAUUGUCAUUGUUAAUUAUUAAUUUGGCCAAACUGUUGUUGCAUCAUUAAGGUGUGCAACACACCUUAACCUACUGUGUGACCGACAAGUGGGUCCUCCUGACCCACAGUUUAAAAUCCCCUGGUGUACUGAAUGUAUUGUAAUUAAAGUCGCAUCUAAGUCUUG